rnacentral:rRNA from 1 species
UAGGGAAUCUUCCGCAAUGGGCGAAAGCCUGACGGAGCAACGCCGCGUGAGUGAAGAAGGAUUUCGGUUCGUAAAGCUCUGUUGUUAGGGAAGAAUGAUUGUGUAGUAACUAUACACAGUAGAGACGGUACCUAACCAGAAAGCCACGGCUAACUACGUGCCAGCAGCCGCGGUAAUACGUAGGUGGCAAGCGUUGUCCGGAAUUAUUGGGCGUAAAGNNCGCGCAGGGGGUUUUGAAUNAAUGAGAUGUGAUGUGAAAGCCCACGGCUCAACCGUGGAGGGUCAUUGGAAACUGUUAAACUUGAGUGCAGGAGAGAAAAGUGGAAUUCCUAGUGUAGCGGUGAAAUGCGUAGAGAUUAGGAGGAAAACACACCCGCGNGAGGGAGGGGUUUUUGGCCUGUAACUGACACUGAGGCGCGAAAGCGUGGGGAGCAAACAGGAUUAGAUACCCUGGUAGUCCACGCCGUAAACGAUGAGUGCUAAGUGUUGGUCUCAUAAGAGAUCAGUGCUGCAGCUAACGCAUUAAGCACUCCGCCUGGGGAGUACGACCGCAAGGUUG